AUUGAACGCUGGCGGCAUGCUUUACACAUGCAGGUCGAACGGUAACAGGCCUUCGGGUGCUGACGAGUGGCGAACGGGUGAGUAAUGCAUCGGAACGUACCCAGAGGUGGGGGAUAACGCAGCGAAAGCUGUGCUAAUACCGCAUGUGAUCUGAGGAUGAAAGCGGGGGACCGAGCAGCAAUGUUUGGCCUCGCGCCUUUGGAGCGGCCGAUGUCGGGUUAGCUAGUUGGUGGGGUAAAGGCCUACCAAGGCGACGAUCCGUAGCUGGUCUGAGAGGACGACCAGCCACACUGGGACUGAGACACGGCCCAGACUCCUACGGGAGGCAGCAGUGGGGAAUUUUGGACAAUGGGCGCAAGCCUGAUCCAGCAAUGCCGCGUGCGGGAAGAAGGCCUUCGGGUUGUAAACCGCUUUUGGCAGGAACGAAACGGUGUCCGCUAAUACCGGGCGCUAAUGACGGUACCUGCAGAAUAAGCACCGGCUAACUACGUG
rnacentral:rRNA from 1 species